rnacentral:rRNA from 1 species
GGGUUGUGAGGUUAAGCGACUAAGCGUACACGGUGGAUGCCUAGGCAGUCAGAGGCGAUGAAGGGCGUGCUAAUCUGCGAAAAGCGUCGGUAAGCUGAUAUGAAGCGUUAUAACCGACGAUACCCGAAUGGGGAAACCCAGUGCAAUACGUUGCACUAUCGUUAGAUGAAUACAUAGUCUAACGAGGCGAACCGGGGGAACUGAAACAUCUAAGUACCCCGAGGAAAAGAAAUCAACCGAGAUUCCCCCAGUAGCGGCGAGCGAACGGGGAGGAGCCCAGAGUCUGAAUCAGUUUGUGUGUUAGUGGAAGCGUCUGGAAAGUCGCACGGUACAGGGUGAUAGUCCCGUACACCAAAAUGCACAGGCUGUGAACUCGAUGAGUAGGGCGGGACACGUGACAUCCUGUCUGAAUAUGGGGGGACCAUCCUCCAAGGCUAAAUACUCCUGACUGACCGAUAGUGAACCAGUACCGUGAGGGAAAGGCGAAAAGAACCCCGGCGAGGGGAGUGAAAUAGAACCUGAAACCGUGUACGUACAAGCAGUGGGAGCACCUUCGUGGUGUGACUGCGUACCUUUUGUAUAAUGGGUCAGCGACUUAUAUUUUGUAGCAAGGUUAACCGAAUAGGGGAGCCGUAGGGAAACCGAGUCUUAACUGGGCGUCUAGUUGCAAGGUAUAGACCCGAAACCCGGUGAUCUAGCCAUGGGCAGGUUGAAGGUUGGGUAACACUAACUGGAGGACCGAACCGACUAAUGUUGAAAAAUUAGCGGAUGACUUGUGGCUGGGGGUGAAAGGCCAAUCAAACCGGGAGAUAGCUGGUUCUCCCCGAAAGCUAUUUAGGUAGCGCCUCGUGAACUCAUCUUCGGGGGUAGAGCACUGUUUCGGCUAGGGGGCCAUCCCGGCUUACCAAACCGAUGCAAACUCCGAAUACCGAAGAAUGUUAUCACGGGAGACACACGGCGGGUGCUAACGUCCGUCGUGAAGAGGGAAACAACCCAGACCGCCAGCUAAGGUCCCAAAGUCAUGGUUAAGUGGGAAACGAUGUGGGAAGGCACAGACAGCCAGGAUGUUGGCUUAGAAGCAGCCAUCAUUUAAAGAAAGCGUAAUAGCUCACUGGUCGAGUCGGCCUGCGCGGAAGAUGUAACGGGGCUAAACCAUGCACCGAAGCUGCGGCAGCGACACUUAGGUGUUGUUGGGUAGGGGAGCGUUCUGUAAGCCGUUGAAGGUGACCUGUGAGGGUUGCUGGAGGUAUCAGAAGUGCGAAUGCUGACAUAAGUAACGAUAAUGCGGGUGAAAAACCCGCACGCCGGAAGACCAAGGGUUCCUGUCCAACGUUAAUCGGGGCAGGGUGAGUCGACCCCUAAGGCGAGGCUGAAAAGCGUAGUCGAUGGGAAACAGGUUAAUAUUCCUGUACUUGGUGUUACUGCGAAGGGGGGACGGAGAAGGCUAGGCUGGCCGGGCGACGGUUGUCCCGGUUUAAGCGUGUAGGGGGAGUGACCAGGUAAAUCCGGUUGCUUAUCAACCCUGAGGCGUGAUGACGAUGCACUACGGUGCAGAAGCAGUUGAUGCCAUGCUUCCAGGAAAAGCCUCUAAGCAUCAGGUAACAUUAAAUCGUACCCCAAACCGACACAGGUGGUCAGGUAGAGAAUACUCAGGCGCUUGAGAGAACUCGGGUGAAGGAACUAGGCAAAAUGGUGCCGUAACUUCGGGAGAAGGCACGCUGGCGUUAGGUGAAAGGACUAGCUCCUGGAGCUGAAGCCAGUCGCAGAUACCAGCUGGCUGCAACUGUUUAAUAAAAACACAGCACUGUGCAAACACGAAAGUGGACGUAUACGGUGUGACGCCUGCCCGGUGCUGGAAGGUUAAUUGAUGGGGUCAGCCGCAAGGCGAAGCUCUUGAUCGAAGCCCCAGUAAACGGCGGCCGUAACUAUAACGGUCCUAAGGUAGCGAAAUUCCUUGUCGGGUAAGUUCCGACCUGCACGAAUGGCGUAAUGAUGGCCAGGCUGUCUCCACCCGAGACUCAGUGAAAUUGAACUCGCUGUGAAGAUGCAGUGUACCCGCGGCAAGACGGAAAGACCCCGUGAACCUUUACUAUAGCUUGACACUGAACAUUGAGCCUUGAUGUGUAGGAUAGGUGGGAGGCCUUGAAGUGUGGACGCCAGUCUGCAUGGAGCCAACCUUGAAAUACCACCCUUUAAUGUUUGAUGUUCUAACUCGGCCCCAU